UCGGUCCCGGUUCACGGACGGCAGUCCGCCCUUCCGACCCGGAACC
rfam:Streptacidiphilus jiangxiensis strain CGMCC 4.1857 genome assembly, contig: Ga0104467_101